rnacentral:rRNA from 2 species
GUGGACGCCAGUCUGCGUGGAGCCGACCUUGAAAUACCACCCUUUAAUGUUUGAUGUUCUAACGUGGACCCGUAAUCCGGGUUGCGGACAGUGUCUGGUGGGUAGUUUGACUGGGGCGGUCUCCUCCUAAAGAGUAACGGAGGAGCACGAAGGUUGGCUAAUCCUGGUCGGACAUCAGGAGGUUAGUGCAAUGGCAUAAGCCAGCUUGACUGCGAGCGUGACGGCGCGAGCAGGUGCGAAAGCAGGUCAUAGUGAUCCGGUGGUUCUGAAUGGAAGGGCCAUCGCUCAACGGAUAAAAGGUACUCCGGGGAUAACAGGCUGAUACCGCCCAAGAGUUCAUAUCGACGGCGGUGUUUGGCACCUCGAUGUCGGCUCAUCACAUCCUGGGGCUGAAGUAGGUCCCAAGGGUAUGGCUGUUCGCCAUUUAAAGUGGUACGCGAGCUGGGUUUAGAACGUCGUGAGACAGUUCGGUCCCUAUCUGCCGUGGGCGCUGGAGAACUGAGGGGGGCUGCUCCUAGUACGAGAGGACCGGAGUGGACGCAUCACUGGUGUUCGGGUUGUCAUGCCAAUGGCACUGCCCGGUAGCUAAAUGCGGAAGAGAUAAGUGCUGAAAGCAUCUAAGCACGAAACUUGCCCCGAGAUGAGUUCUCCCUGAGACUUAGAGUCUCCUGAAGGAACGUUGAA